rnacentral:misc_RNA from 1 species
GUGAAUCAUCGAAUUUUUGAACGCAAAUUGCACUCUCUUCGGAGAGUAUGCCUGUUUGAGGGUCAGCCUAAAAAAAUCGACGGAAUCGCUUUUUCGCGGUUACAUUCCUCGGGAAUUGGGUCAUCUUAAACCUUUGGGUUUUUUAAAGGGCCUAAAAUUUUCUUUACGAUUCCACGAACGUUUCUAAAGUUUUACUUCUUACACACGGUUAAGGUAUCGAUCUUUAUUAAACCGUGCCGUU